GACGAACGCUGGCGGCGUGCUUAACACAUGCAAGUCGAACGGAAAGGCCCUGCUUUUGUGGGGUGCUCGAGUGGCGAACGGGUGAGUAACAAGUGAGUAACCUGCCCUUGACUUUGGGAUAACUUCAGGAAACUGGGGCUAAUACCGGAUAGGAGCUCCUGCUGCAUGGUGGGGGUUGGAAAGUUUCGGCGGUUGGGGAUGGACUCGCGGCUUAUCAGCUUGUUGGUGGGGUAGUGGCUUACCAAGGCUUUGACGGAUAGCCGGCCUGAGAGGGUGACCGGCCACAUUGGGACUGAGAUACGGACCAGACUCCUACGGGAGGCAGCAGUGGGGAAUAUUGCACAAUGGGCGGAAGCCUGAUGCAGCAACGCCGCGUGCGGGAUGACGGCCUUCGGGUUGUAAACCGCUUUCGCCUGUGACGAAGCGUGAGUGACGGUAAUGGGUAAAGAAGCACCGGCUAACUACGUG
rnacentral:rRNA from 1 species